UGAGUUUGAUCCUGGCUCAGAAUGAACGCUUGCGAUAGGCUUAACACAUGCAAGUUGAACAAGAGUGUAUUGCUUUUGUAGCGAACGGGUGCGUAAGGUGUAGGAAUUUACCUUUUUAAAAGAGUGAAAUACUUUGAGAAAACAUGUUGUUGUAAAAAGAUAAGCCUACAUAAGAUUAGAUAGUUGGUGUGGGAAGGGCGCACCAAGUCGAAGAUCUUUAGCUGAUCUUAGCGGAUGAUCAGCCACACUGGGACUGAGACACGGCCCAGGCUCCCAUGGGAGACAGCAGUGAGGAAUCAUGGACAAUGCACGAAAGUGUGAUCCUGCUAUAUCGCGUGAGUGAUGAAGGGUAUAGUGCUUGUAAAACUCUUUCAGCAAGAACAUGCUUGCAUGUAUAUGGAUAGUGACGUGUCUUGCAGAAGAAGCCCCGGCUAAUAUCUGUGCCAGCAGCCGCGGUAAUACAGAAGGGGCAAGUGUUAUUCGGAAUAAUUGGGCGUAAAUGGCGUGUAGGUUGUGUUUCGUAGCUUUUUGUUAAAUCCUUAUUGAUAUAAUAAGUAAAGCGAAAAGAACGGUUACACUGGAGACUGAGAGGGGAAAGGGGAAUUUCUAGUGGAGAAGUUAAAUUCUUAGAUAUUAGAAGGAACACCGAAAGCGAAAGCACCUUUCUGGCUCAGAUCUGACACUGAGGCGCGAAGGCGUGGGGAGCGAAGCCGAUUAGAUACCGGCGUAGUCCACGCAGUCAACGAUGCUGUAUUCCUUUUUGGAAAGCGGAAAAUGUAACGGUUAUAUGUCUGCGUUUAAACGCAGACAUAUAACUUAUUAUAUUGGCGAAGUAGCUCAGUUGGUUAGAGCAACGGAUUCAUACUCCGUGUGUCAGUGGUUCGAAUCCACUUUUCGUCAAUUCUCUCUGUAUUUUUUAUUUUCUUUUGUUUUUUUACUAUAAAGUAUUUUGGGGAUGCCUUGACUAUAUAUCAUGAAUGGGCGUUAAACUAUGCGAAAAGUUGUAUCUAAGACAAACCGUGAGAAAGGUACAAAUACCCAUCGUGGAAAACCACAUAAAGAUUCACACAAAGGGAACUGAAACAUCUUAGUACCUUUAGGAAAAGAAAUCAACCGAGAUUCCGUGAGUAUCGGCGAGAGAAAGCGGAGCAGGCAAUUUCUAUAUAUUUGUGCAAAACAUGUCUGGGAAGCAUGACCAAAGAAGGUAAAAGUCCUGUAUGAUGAAAAUGUAUAGAAU
rnacentral:rRNA from 1 species